AUUCAGCACUACAUCUUGCAGAUUCCUCAUUAAGAAAUCCUCUCUCUCUAAUCUUCUAAAUUACCAUUUUCUUUCCUCCUACUCCUCACGGGUCCUUCAAAGAAAUUAUCAAGUUUGUUUCAAAUUCCAAAUCAAGAAGAAUCGAACUAUUGCCAACACCACCCCUCAUAUCGAGGUCCGUGCGACAGAAAGUGAAGCAGAAGAAGAAACGACUCCACGCCAGCUUUAAGAACAAUUGAGGUUGAGCAGGCGAUGGAAUGGAUCGGUGUUGAGCGGAUUUCCCUUUUGAUGUUUAUGUAAUGAAACCUUGAGUAUGCAUCUCCAUAUGCAUAACUCACACGUUUUUCCGCUGCAAACACUCUGAAUUUGUUAUCGUAUUGUGGAACUUAUUACUCCUUCAUUUUGUUUAACUUUCAUUUGGGG